rnacentral:rRNA from 1 species
UACGUAGGGGGCAAGCGUUGACCGGAAUUACUGGGCGUAAAGAGCGCGCAGGCGGUCGUCCAAGUCGCGUGUGAAAGCCCCCGGCUCAACUGGGGAGGGUCACGCGAUACUGGUCGACUCGAAGGCAGGAGAGGGUAGUGGAAUUCCCGGUGUAGUGGUGAAAUGCGUAGAUAUCGGGAGGAACACCAGUGGCGAAGGCGACUACCUGGCCUGUUCUUGACGCUGAGGCGCGAAAGCUAGGGGAGCAAACGGG